UGAUAGCAAUGAAGCGCGAGGUUGCCACAUAGCAAUAUACAUGUGGGUUUUCCGUGGAGCGAAUGUCAAGUUAGCAAACUGGCGACAA
rnacentral:ncRNA from 1 species